CAAGCCAAUCAGCGGGCCGGUUUGAAGUUCGACCAUAGUGGGCCAGAGAGAUGUCCCGGAAUGUCUUCAUUUUUUCACGGGCCCGGUCCAGAAGAACUUGAGUGCGCCAGUUCACUUCAGUCGCAGAGGAGAUCCCUUGCACGAGUGCAGAACAGUCGGUAUGUACUUCCAGAGGGAGUUCCGCACGAGUUGCAAGUAGAUCUAGGGUUUCCAACAGAGCUAGAGCUUCCGCCUGUUCCGCUGAAGACGCCUCCACUACUUUCGCAAGUCCAUCCACCAUACAACCUCGGUGAUCCCUGCAUAUGCACGCCACUGCUGCUCUAUUUUGUUGAUUUCCGCUGGUCUCUGUUUCCACGGCAGUUUGCUCAGCGAAAGAGGCGUCUAUAUUUACCUUCAGCUUUAGAGGAGGCGGUGGUAGCCAUCGAUCGGGGACGCCGCUCGAAUAGGAACAAGUUGCGCCCCUUCUAGAUGCACCAUAGAACAGCCACAACUUGUUCGAACUUCUUCGCAUGAAAUUCGGAAUUCCAGAUCUGAGUUGUCCAUGGACAGAGAAGCAGAAGAUGUUCUUCGGUUUCAGUCUCUUUGUUGCAGAUGGGGCAUAUGGGAUCCGGUACGAUCUUUCUUCUAUAUAAGUUUUCCCGUGUAGGAAGAGCAUUCUGGGAAGCUUGCCAGAGAAAAAAUCUAAUUUUUGGGAUAGUUUUUACUUGCCAUAUUUGUUUCCAUAGAUCUGGAUUGGUGUGAUGCGAUGAGGUUGCUGCAUGGCCUAUGCUUGCUGUAUGUUUUCUUACUGUGUGGUAGCCACUUUUCACUGAGUAAAGACCAGAAUUGCUGUGCAUCCAGACAAGUUUAUCU